rnacentral:misc_RNA from 1 species
GUACUCUAGCCAAAAAGCUGUUCUUGAAGUUGAAUAUUUUGGUGAAGUUGGUACUGGCCUGGGUCCUACACUUGAGUUUUAUACCCUUAUAAGUCACGAUCUACAGAAACUUGGACUUGGAAUGUGGAGAUCUGGUUUAUCAUUAACUUCAAAUGAACAUUCUGUGGAAGUUCAUAUCGAUAAUAAAUUAAGUAGAAGUGACGGAGAUCUUGUCCAAGCACCUCUUGGAUUA